rnacentral:rRNA from 1 species
GUCGAGGGGCAGCGGGGUAGUGCUUGCACUACUGCCGGCGACCGGCGCACGGGUGAGUAACACGUAUGGAACCUGCCCGCAGCAGGGGGAUAAGCGGAAGAAAUUCCGUCUAAUACCGCGUAACAACGUUGGGAGGCAUCUCCCGAUGUUUAAAGAUUUAUCGGCUGCGGAUGGCCAUGCGGCGCAUUAGCUAGUCGGCGGGGUAACGGCCCACCGAGGCGACGAUGCGUAGGGGUUCUGAGAGGAAGGUCCCCCACACUGGUACUGAGACACGGACCAGACUCCUACGGGAGGCAGCAGUGAGGAAUAUUGGUCAAUGGCCGAGAGGCUGAACCAGCCAAGUCGCGUGAGGGAAGACGGCCCUACGGGUUGUAAACCUCUUUUGUCGGGGAGCAAAGAGAGCCACGUGUGGCUCAUUGAGAGUACCCGAAGAAAAAGCACCGGCUAACUCCGUGCCAGCAGCCGCGGUAAUACGGAGGAUGCGAGCGUUAUCCGGAUUUAUUGGGUUUAAAGGGUGCGCAGGCGGAGGUGCAAGUCAGCGGUCAAAUUGCGGGGCUCAACCCCGUACUGCCGUUGAAACUGCAU